AACGAACGCUGGCGGCAUGCUUAACACAUGCAAGUCGAACGAAGCUUCAAGCUUGCUUGAAGACUGAGUGGCAGACGGGUGAGUAACGCGUGGGAAUCUACCUUAGUGUGGGGGACAACAGUUGGAAACGACUGCUAAUACCGCAUACGCUCUUCGGAGGAAAGGCUUCGGCCGCACUUAGAUGAGCCCGCGUUAGAUUAGCUAGUUGGUGGGGUAAAGGCCUACCAAGGCAACGAUCUAUAGCUGGUCUGAGAGGAUGAUCAGCCACACUGGGACUGAGACACGGCCCAG
rnacentral:rRNA from 1 species